UAUUGGACAAUGGGCGCAAGCCUGAUCCAGCCAUGCCGCGUGGAUGAUGAAGGCCCUAGCGUUGUAAAGUCCUUUCGGCGGGGAAGAUAAUGACGGUACCCGCAGAAGAAGCCCCGGCUAACUUCGUGCCAGCAGCCGCGGUAAUACGAAGGGGGCUAGCGUUGCUCGGAAUCACUGGGCGUAAAGCGCACGUAGGCGGACUCUUAAGUCGGUGGUGAAAUCCUGGAGCUCAACUCCAGAACUGCCUUCGAUACUGAGAGUCUCGAGUCCGGGAGAGGUGAGUGGAACUGCGAGUGUAGAGGUGAAAUUCGUAGAUAUUCGCAAGAACCCCAGUGGCGAAGGCGGCUCACGGCCCGGUACUGACGCUGAGGUGCGAA
rnacentral:rRNA from 1 species